AUUGAACGCUGGCGGCAGGCCUAACACAUGCAAGUCGAGCGGAUGAAGGGAGCUUGCUCCUGGAUUCAGCGGCGGACGGGUGAGUAAUGCCUAGGAAUCUGCCUGGUAGUGGGGGAUAACGUCCGGAAACGGGCGCUAAUACCGCAUACGUCCUGAGGGAGAAAGUGGGGGAUCUCCGGACCUCACGCUAUCAGAUGAGCCUAGGUCGGAUUAGCUAGUUGGUGGGGUAAAGGCCUACCAAGGCGACGAUCCGUAACUGGUCUGAGAGGAUGAUCAGUCACACUGGAACUGAGACACGGUCCAGACUCCUACGGGAGGCAGCAGUGGGGAAUAGUGGACAAUGGGCGAAAGCCUGAUCCAGCCAUGCCGCGUGUGUGAAGAAGGUCUUCGGAUUGUAAAGCACUUUAAGUUGGGAGGAAGGGCAGUAAGUUAAUACCGUGCUGUUUUGACGUUACCAACAGAAUAAGCACCGGCUAACUUCGUG
rnacentral:rRNA from 1 species